rnacentral:rRNA from 1 species
UACGGAGGGUGCAAGCGUUAUCCGGAUUCACUGGGUUUAAAGGGUGCGUAGGAGGGCAGGGAAGUCCGUGGUGAAAUCCUAGAGCUUAACUCUAGAACUGCCGUGGAUACUCUCUGUCUUGAAUCCCGUGGAGAUGAGCGGAAUAUGUCAUGUAGCGGUGAAAUGCUUAGAUAUGACAUAGAACACCAAUUGCGAAGGCAGCUCGUUACACGAAGAUUGACUCUGAGGCACGAAAGCGUGGGGAUCAGACAGG